CCUACGGGUGGCAGCAGUGAGGAAUAUUGGUCAAUGGACGAGAGUCUGAACCAGCCAAGUAGCGUGAAGGAUGACUGCCCUAUGGGUUGUAAACUUCUUUUAUAUGGGAAUAAAAUGUUCCACGUGUGGGAUUUUGUAUGUACCAUAUGAAUAAGGAUCGGCUAACUCCGUGCCAGCAGCCGCGGUAAUACGGAGGAUCCGAGCGUUAUCCGGAUUUAUUGGGUUUAAAGGGAGCGUAGGUGGAUUGUUAAGUCAGUUGUGAAAGUUUGCGGCUCAACCGUAAAAUUGCAGUUGAAACUGGCAGUCUUGAGUGCAGUAGAGGUGGGCGGAAUUCGUGGUGUAGCGGUGAAAUGCUUAGAGAUCACGAAGAACUCCGAUUGCGAAGGCAGUUCACUGGACUGCAACUGACACUGAGGCUCGAAAGUGUGGGUAUCAAACAGGAUUAGAUACCCGUGUAGUC
rnacentral:rRNA from 1 species